rnacentral:SRP_RNA from 1 species
CCGUGCUAGGCGGGGAGCUAGCGGUGCCCUGCACCCGCAAUCCGCUUUAGCGGGGCCGAAUUCCGCCUUCGGCCCGAACGGUUCGUGGCAGCCCCGGGUACGGGGCGUCGAUGGUUGGGUCCCGCGCGACGUCGGACCGUGAACCCCGUCAGGCCCGGAAGGGAGCAGCGGUAAGCGGACCCCGGCGGGUGCCGCGGGGAUGCCUGGCCGGAGCCGCCGGCCCGGGUAGCGCUCGGGUUGUUCGUGGUCAACGGCGGAUGCACGG